rnacentral:rRNA from 1 species
CACGUAGGCGGAUAUUUAAGUCAGGGGUAAAAUCCCAGAGCUCAACUCUGGAACUGCCUUUGAUACUGGGUAUCUUGAGUAUGGAAGAGGUAAGUGGAAUUCCGAGUGUAGAGGUGAAAUUCGUAGAUAUUCGGAGGAACACCAGUGGCGAAGGCGGCUUACUGGUCCAUUACUGACGCUGAGGUGCGAAAGCGUGGGGAGCAAACA